rnacentral:misc_RNA from 1 species
GCAAACUUGGUCAUUUAGAGGAAGUAAAAGUCGUAACAAGGUUUCCGUAGGUGAACCUGCGGAAGGAUCAUUACUGAAUCGUUGACAAGAGUUGUUGCUGGUCUCCAAACGGGGGCAUGUGCACGCUCUGUUCACACACAUCCACUCACACCCUGUGCACCCUCUGUAGUUCCAUGGUUGGGGGGCCUGUCUCCCUGCCGUGGUUCUGCAUCUUUACAUACACACACUGUAACAAAGUCUCAUGGAAUGCAUGCUGCGUUUAACGCAAUACAAUACAACUUUCAGCAACGGAUCUCUUGGCUCUCGCAUCGAUGAAGAACGCAGC